AUUGAACGCUGGCGGCAGGCCUAACACAUGCAAGUCGAACGGUAACAGAAAGCAGCUUGCUGCUUUGCUGACGAGUGGCGGACGGGUGAGUAAUGCCUGGGAAACUGCCUGAUGGAGGGGGAUAACUACUGGAAACGGUAGCUAAUACCGCAUAACGUCGCAAGACCAAAGAGGGGGACCUUAGGGCCUCUUUCCAUCGGAUUUGCCCAGAUGGGAUUAGCUAGUAGGUGGGGUAAAGGCUCACCUAGGCGACGAUCCCUAGCUGGUCUGAGAGGAUGACCAGCCACACUGGAACUGAGACACGGUCCAGACUCCUACGGGAGGCAGCAGUGGGGAAUAUUGCACAAUGGGCGCAAGCCUGAUGCAGCCAUGCCGCGUGUAUGAAGAAGGCCUUCGGGUUGUAAAGUACUUUCAGCGGGGAGGAAGGGAGUAAAGUUAAUACCUUUGCUCAUUGACGUUACCCGCAGAAGAAGCACCGGCUAACUCCGUG
rnacentral:rRNA from 1 species